rnacentral:rRNA from 1 species
AGGAGCCGAAGAAGGACGGGACUAACACCGAUAUGCUUUGGGGAGCUGUACGUAAGCGUUGAUCCAGAGAUUUCCGAAUGGGGGAACCCACUAUCUUUAGUCGGAUAGUAUCCUUACGUGAAUACAUAGCGUGAGGAAGGCAGACCCAGGGAACUGAAACAUCUAAGUACCUGGAGGAAGAGAAAGAAAAAUCGAUUUCCUGAGUAGCGGCGAGCGAAACGGAAAGAGCCCAAACCAAGAAGCUUGCUUCUUGGGGUUGUAGGACACUCUAUACGGAGUUACAAAAGAAAGUUAUAAAUGAAGCGGUCUGGAAAGGCCCGCCAAAGACGGUAACAGC